rnacentral:rRNA from 1 species
AAUCAACGCUGGCGGCGUGCCUAACACAUGCGAGUCGAACGAGAAAGGGGCUUCGGCCCUGAGUAAAGUGGCGCACGGGUGAGUAACACGUGACUAACCUACCCUGGAGUGGGGAAUAACUUCGAGAAAUCGGGGCUAAUACCGCAUAACACCUACGGGUCAAAGGAGCAAUUCGCUUCAGGAGGGGGUCGCGGCAGAUUAGUUAGUUGGCAGGGUAAUGGCCUACCAAGACAGUGAUCUGUAUCCGGCCUGAGAGGGCGCACGGACACACUGGAACUGAAACACGGUCCAGACUCCUACGGGAGGCAGCAGUGGGGAAUUUUGCGCAAUGGGGGAAACCCUGACGCAGCAACGCCGCGUGGAGGAUGAAGUCUCUUGGGACGUAAACUCCUUUCGACCGGGACGAUAAUGACGGUACCGGAAGAAGAAGCCCCGGCUAACUUCGUGCCAGCCGCCGCCGUAACAC